AUCUCAAUCUUACGCAGACCAAAAAAGAUGGAAUACCAUUGGAAUCCAUCUCUGAUAUCAAGUGAUCAAGAUGAGAUGUUCGAGGAACCUGAUGUUGAGAAUUCUAUACAUUUUGGUGCACCAGCUCAUGCAUGGCGAUAUUAUGGUACAACCGAUUGGUAUCAAGAGAGGACUAA